AUAGCUAAACUAAAUAAAGCAUUUCACUUACACCGAAAAAUUGCCCGUGCAAAUCGGACUACUCUGACACCUAAGAGCUAGCUGUACGUAAUACUCAACACAAAAUAUCAAUACAUAUUAAUGUACUAGUAGAUAAAACCAAACCAUUUUUCAUGUCUUAGUAUAGGAGAUAGAAAAGGACAAUCAAGCUAUAGACCAAGUACCGCAAGGGAACGCUGAAAAAGAGAUGAAACAGCACAGUAAAGUAGAAUAAAGCAGAGAUAAGACCUCGUACCUUUUGCAUCAUGAUUUAGUAAGAACUGGGUCAGCAAAAUGUUUUCUAGUUGGCUUCCCCGAAACUAGGUGAGCUACUCCGGGACAGCCUGAUAAUAGGGCAAACACGUCCCUGUGGCAAAAGGGUGUGAAGAUCCCCGAGUAGCGGCGACAAACCUACCGAACCUAGUUAUAGCUGGUUGUCUGAGACUUAAAUAAGAGUUUAGCCUUUUAUUUUCUGAAUUUAACAAUGACUCAAUCAUCACGACAAUGAAAGAAAAUUAAAGAGUUAUUCAUAAGGGGCUCAGCCCUUAUGAAAAAGGAUACAACCUUGCUAGGUGAUUAAGGACAUAAAUAAAGUUGAUGUCUUAGUGGGCUUAAAAGCAGCCACCUAGAAAAAAGCGUUAAAGC
rnacentral:rRNA from 1 species